ACACGGGGGGAGCAAACGUUGUUCGGAAUUACUGGGCGUAAAGGGCGCGUAGGCGGCUUUGCAAGUGGUGUGUGAAAUGCCCUGGCUCAACCAGGGAACUGCGCCCCAAACUGCAAGGCUUGAGGGCAGUAGAGGAAGCUGGAAUUCCUGGUGUAGCGGUGAAAUGCGUAGAUAUCAGGAGGAACACCGUUGGCGAAGGCGAGCUUCUGGGCUGUCCCUGACGCUGAGGCGCGAAAGCUGGGGGAGCAAACAGGAUUAGAUACCCCGGUAGUCC
rnacentral:rRNA from 1 species